GAAUAUAGUUAAUACCUAUAUUCCGUGACUUAACUUACAGAAUAAGGACCGGCUAACUCCGUGCCAGCAGCCGCGGUAAUACGGAGGGUCCAAGCGUUAAUCGGAAUUACUGGGCGUAAAGCGCGCGUAGGCGGUUUGUCAAGUUGGAUGUGAAAUCCCUGGGCUCAACCUAGGAACUGCAUUCAAAACUUAUAGACUAGAGUACGAUAGAGGAGAGUAGAAUUCCUGGUGUAGCGGUGAAAUGCGUAGAUAUCAGGAGGAAUACCAAUGGCGAAGGCAACUCUCUGGAUCGACACUGACGCUGAGGUGCGAAAGCGUGGGUAGCAAACAGGAUUAGAUACCCUGGUAGUCCACGCCGUAAACGAUGAGAACUAGCCGUUGGAUCUUAGAUUCAGUGGUACAGCUAACGCAUUAAGUUCUCCGCCUGGGGAGUACGGCCGCAAGGCUAAAACUCAAAUGAAUUGACGGGGGCCCGCACAAGCGGUGGAGCAUGUGGUUUAAUUCGAUGCAACGCGAAAAACCUUACCAACCCUUGACAUCUAGUGAAAUUUCUAGAGAUAGAUUUGUGCCUUCGGGAACACUAUGACAGGUGUUGCAUGGCUGUCGUCAGCUCGUGUCGUGAGAUGUAUGGUUAAGUCCAGUAACGAGCGCAACCCCUAUUCUUAUUUGCCAGCACUUCGGGUGGGAACUAUAAGGAGACCGCCGUGUAUAACACGGAGGAAGGCGGGGACGACGUCAAGUCAUCAUGGCCCUUACGGGUUGGGCUACACACGUGCUACAAUGGGAGAUACAGAUGGUUGCGAAAGCGCGAGCUGGAGCUAAUCCCAAAAAGUCUUCCUCAGUCCGGAAUGGAGUCUGCAACUCGACUCCAUGAAGCAGGAAUCGCUAGUAAU
rnacentral:rRNA from 1 species